UACAGAGGUCCCAAGCGUUGUUCGGAUUCAUUGGGCGUAAAGGGUGCGUAGGUGGCAUGGUUAGUCGGGUGUGAAAUCCCGGGGCUCAACCCCGGAACUGCACUCGAUACUGCCGUGCUCGAGUACUGGAGAGGAGACUGGAAUUUACGGUGUAGCAGUGAAAUGCGUAGAUAUCGUAAGGAAGACCGGUGGCGAAAGCUAGUCUCUGGACAGUCACUGACACUGAGGCACGA
rnacentral:rRNA from 1 species